rnacentral:rRNA from 1 species
GAACGAACGCUGGCGGCAUGCCUACCACAUGCAAGUCGAACGAGACCUUCGGGUCUAGUGGCGCACGGGUGCGUAACGCGUGGGAACCUGCCCUUAGGUUCGGAAUAACUCCCCGAAAGGGGUGCUAAUACCGGAUAAUGUCUUCGGUCCAAAGAUUUAUCGCCUUUGGAUGGGCCCGCGUUGGAUUAGCUAGUUGGUAGGGUAAAAGCCUACCAAGGCGACGAUCCAUAGCUGGUCUGAGAGGAUGAUCAGCCACACUGGGACUGAGACACGGCCCAGACUCCUACGGGAGGCAGCAGUGGGGAAUAUUGGACAAUGGGCGAAAGCCUGAUCCAGCAAUGCCGCGUGAGUGAUGAAGGCCUUAGGGUUGUAAAGCUCUUUUACCCGGGAUGAUAAUGACAGUACCGGGAGAAUAAGCUCCGGCUAACUCCGUG